AGUGAACGCUGGCGGUAUGCCUAACACAUGCAAGUCGAACGGCAGCACAGUAAGAGCUUGCUCUUACGGGUGGCGAGUGGCGGACGGGUGAGGAAUACAUCGGAAUCUACUUUUUCGUGGGGGAUAACGUAGGGAAACUUACGCUAAUACCUCAUACUACCUACGGGUGAAAGCAGGGGAUCUUCGGACCUUGCGCGAUUGAAUGAGCCGAUGUCGGAUUAGCUAGUUGGCGGGGUAAAGGCCCACCAAGGCGACGAUCCGUAGCUGGUCUGAGAGGAUGAUCAGCCACACUGGAACUGAGACACGGUCCAGACUCCUACGGGAGGCAGCAGUGGGGAAUAUUGGACAAUGGGCGCAAGCCUGAUCCAGCAAUACCGCGUGGGUGAAGAAGGCCUUCGGGUUGUAAAGCCCUUUUGUUGGGAAAGAAAAGCAGCAGGUUAAUACCCCGCUGUUCUGACGGUACCCAAAGAAUAAGCACCGGCUAACUUCGUG
rnacentral:rRNA from 1 species